rnacentral:rRNA from 1 species
GACGAACGCUGGCGGCGUGCCUAAUACAUGCAAGUCGAGCGGACAGAAGGGAGCUUGCUCCCGGAAGUUAGCGGCGGACGGGUGAGUAACACGUGGGCAACCUACCCUGUAGAUCGGGAUAACAUCGAGAAAUCGGUGCUAAUACCGGAUAAUCAUUUGAAGUGCAUGCUUCGAAUGUAAAAGAUGGCUCCGGCUAUCACUACGGGAUGGGCCCGCGGCGCAUUAGCUGGUUGGUAAGGUAAUGGCUUACCAAGGCAACGAUGCGUAGCCGACCUGGGAGGGUGAUCGGCCACACUGGGACUGAGACACGGCCCAGACUCCUACGGGAGGCAGCAGUAGGGAAUCUUCCGCAAUGGACGAAAGUCUGACGGAGCAACGCCGCGUGAGUGAUGAAGGUUUUCGGAUCGUAAAGCUCUGUUGUUGGGGAAGAACAAGUGCCGUUUGAAUAAGGCGGCACCUUGACGGUACCUAACCAGAAAGCCACGGCUAACUACGUGCCAGCCGCCGCGGUAAAAC